GAAAUGCGAUAAGUAAUGUGAAUUGCAGAAUUCAGUGAAUCAUCGAAUCUUUGAACGCACAUUGCGCCCGCCAGUAUUCUGGCGGGCAUGCCUGUUCGAGCGUCAUUUCAACCAUCAAGCCCCCGGCUUGUGUUGGGGACCUGCGGCUGCCCGCAGGCCCUGAAAAACAGUGGCGGGCUCGCUGUAACACCGAGCGUAGUAGCAUACAUUCUCGCUCAGGGCGUGCUGCGGGUUCCGGCCGUUAAACGACCUUCAUAACCCAAGGUUGACCUCGGAUCAGGUAGGAAGACCCGCUGAACUUAAGC
rnacentral:misc_RNA from 1 species